rnacentral:tmRNA from 1 species
CUUUAGCAGCUUAAUAACCUGCUCUGAGCCCUCUCUCCCUAGCUUCCGCUCUUAAGACGGGGAUCAAAGAGAGGUCAAACCCAAAAGAGAUCGCGUGGAUGCCCUGCCUGGGGUUGAAGCGUUAAAUCUAAUCAGGCUAGUCUGGUAGUGGCGUGUCUGUCCGCAGGUGCCAGGCGAAUGUAAAGACUGACUAAGCAUGUAGUACCGAGGAUGUAGGAAUUUCGGACGCGGGUUCAACUCCCGCCAGCUCCACCA